UAAUACGUAGGGUGCAAGCGUUGUUCGGAAUUAUUGGGCGUAAAGCGCGUGUAGGUUGUCUAUUAAGUCGGGUGUGAAAUCCCUAGGCUCAACCAAGGAAGUGCAUCCGAAACUAAUAGACUAGAAGAUGGUAGAGGAAGGUGGAAUUCCAAAAGUAGAGGUGAAAUUCGUAGAUAUUUGGAGGAAUACCGGUGGCGAAGGCGGCCUUCUGGACCAUUCUUGACACUGAGACGCGAAAGCGUGGGUAGCAAACAGGAUUAGAUACCCUGGUAGUCCACGCCGUAAACGAUGGGUACUAGGUGUUGCGGGAAUUGACCCCUGCAGUGCCGACGCUAACGCAUUAAGUACCCCGCCUGGGAAGUACGGCCGCAAGGUUA
rnacentral:rRNA from 1 species